rnacentral:lncRNA from 1 species
AGGGUUGCUGGAAAUUUUGGAAAAGAGUAAGAUUUUAGCUUGAUUUGAGGUUUUGUAGACCAUUCACAUAAUUUUAAUCUUUUUAUUCUAAAAUUUUGAAGAAAGUUAGACCAUAUUUUUAUCUUUUCAACAAGCUAUAGCAUGCAAGAAAUAGAGCUAUUGUAAGGAGGGAGAUCUAAGCAAAUUUGUUAAAAGGAGUUGUUGGAGUUUUCAAGUAGUAAGAGUCAAGACAAGUUAGGAAUUUCUACACCAUUUCUUGUAUUUUUUUCUUCUUAUUUUAGAUUUUGUAGAAAUUUGAAUCUUGUUAUUAGCUUUUUAAUAAGCUAUUUUAUGUAAGAAGAGAAGCUAAAAUGAAAGAGAUUUACAUGAAUUUAUAGGAGGGUAUUUACUGGAGUUUUUAGGCAGCAGAAUUCAAGACUAAUUUGGUAUUUUUUAUGCCAUUUAAUGGAUUUUUUUUUAAUUUUGAGAAUUUGAAAGAAGCUAGAUUUCAUUAUUAGCUUUUCAACAAGCCUUAGCGCGUAAAAAGAAGGGUUGUGAUGAAGGAGAUCCAAGUUAACUUGUAGAUAGGAACUUUAAAGAUAAUAGUUGCAACAAGUAACUAAUUUUUUUUCUACUUGAUUUGGCUCUCAUUUUCUCAAGAUUUUCUUCAAGGAAUUUAAUAAUUUGAAGUUUGUAUCUUAAAUUGAAUUCAAUAAGCUAAACUUUGCGUAGAUUGAAUUUAUAAUAAGUGAAUUAUAGGUAUUUUAAUUACAUG